rnacentral:rRNA from 1 species
UUUGAUCAUGGCUCAAAUUGAACGCUGGCGGCUUGCUUAACCCUUGCAAGUCAAACGGCAACGCGUGCUAUUUUACUAUUAUGGCGGCAAGGGGCGAACGGGUGAGUAACGCGUAGGAAUAUACCUUAAAGAGGGGGAUAACUUGGGGAAACUCAAGCUAAUACCGCAUAAUAUCUGAGGAGGAAAGCUGGGGACCUUCGGGCCUACCGCUUUAAAAAUACCCUGCGUCCAAUUAGCUAGUUGGAGAGGUAAAGGCUCACCAAGGCAACAAUCGGUAGCUGGUCUGAAAGGAUGGACAGCCACACGGGGGCUGAAACACGGCCCAAACUCCUACGGGAGGCAGCAGUGGGAAAUAUUGGACAAGGGGGGGAACCCUGAUCCACCAAUGCCGCGUGUGUGAAAAAGGCCUGAGGGUUGUAAAGCACUUUCAGUGGGGAGGAGGGUAUAUAGGUUAAAAGCUGAUAUAUUGAACGUUCCCCACAAAAAAAGCACCGGCUAACUCCGUG